rnacentral:rRNA from 1 species
UACGAAGGGGGCUAGCGUUGCUCGGAAUCACUGGGCGUAAAGCGCACGUAGGCGGCUUUCUAAGUCAGGGGUGAAAUCCUGGAGCUCAACUCCAGAACUACCUUUGAUACUGGCGAUCUUGAGUCCGGGAGAGGUGAGUGGAACUGCGAGUGUAGAGGUGAAAUUCGUAGAUAUUCGCAAGAACACCAGUGGCGAAGGCGGCUCACUGGCCCGGUACUGACGCUGAGGUGCGAAAGCGUGGGGAGCAAACAGG